rnacentral:rRNA from 1 species
CCUACGGGAGGCAGCAGUGGGGAAUAUUGGACAAUGGGGGGAACCCUGAUCCAGCGACGCCGCGUGAGUGAAGAAGUAUUUCGGUAUGUAAAGCUCUAUCAGCAGGGAAGAAAGAAAUGACGGUACCUGACUAAGAAGCCCCGGCUAACUACGUGCCAGCAGCCGCGGUAAUACGUAGGGGGGAAGCGUUAUCCGGAUUUACUGGGUGUAAAGGGAGCGUAGACGGCGAUGCAAGUCUGAAGUGAAAGGCGGGGGCCCAACCCCCGGACUGCUUUGGAAACUGUAUGGCUGGAGUGCAGGAGAGGUAAGUGGAAUUCCUAGUGGAGCGGUGAAAGGCGUAGAGAUUAGGAGGAACACCAGUGGCGAAGGCGGCUUACUGGACUGUAACUGACGUUGAGGCUCGAAAGCGUGGGGAGCAAACAGGAUUAGAUACCCGAGUAGGC